rnacentral:tRNA from 1 species
AAAAAUAUAGCAUAACAAUAAUGCAUCUCAUUUACACUGAGAAUAUGUUGAAAUAUCAGCUAUUUUUA